rnacentral:misc_RNA from 1 species
CAUAUGUGUAUAAGAGACAGGUGAGUCAUCGAAUCUUUGAACGCAUAUUGCGCCCCUUGGUAUUCCUUGGGGCACACCUGUUCGAGCGUCAUUUCACCAAUCAAGCCUCGCUUGGUGUUGGGCGAUGCGCACGUCGCACGCCUCAAAUGCCCCGGCCGAGCAGUCUCUCACCCGGCGUCGUGGAAACAUACCGCUACGGAGACGAGACCUGCCCGUGCCGCAGAAUAACCUAUUAACAAAGGUUGACCUCGGAUCAGGUGGGGAUACCCGCUGAACUUAAGCAUAUCAAUAAGCGGAGGA